CUUCUGUGAUGAUACGAUGACGAGUCGGAUUGGGGCACAGCUCUGAGGACUGAGUCAGGGUCACGUUCUGUGCCUCUGGCUUUAGUUCCUUAGAGCCGCAUGUCCUCUUAGAUUGAAGACAUUGAGGCAUUUGUCUGAGAAGG